UACAGAGGGGGCAAGCGUUGUUCGGAAUUACUGGGCGUAAAGGGCGCGUAGGCGGCCUGUUAAGUCGAACGUGAAAUCCCCGGGCUCAACCCGGGAACUGCGUCCGAUACUGGCAGGCUUGAAUCCGGGAGAGGGAUGCGGAAUUCCAGGUGUAGCGGUGAAAUGCGUAGAGAUCAGCAGGAACACCCGUGGCGAAGGCGGCCCCCUGGGCCGAACCUGACGCUGAGGCGCGAAGGCUAGGGGAGCGAACGGG
rnacentral:rRNA from 1 species